AAAAAAAAAAAAAAAAAAAAAAAAAAAAAAAAAAAAAAACAGAAGAGCCGAACACUUUCGUGUUGACAGACGCUCC
rnacentral:ribozyme from 1 species